AUUGAACGCUGGCGGCAGGCUUAACACAUGCAAGUCGAGCGGAGAGAGGUAGCUUGCUACCGAUCUUAGCGGCGGACGGGUGAGUAAUGCUUAGGAAUCUGCCUAUUAGUGGGGGACAACAUUUCGAAAGGAAUGCUAAUACCGCAUACGUCCUACGGGAGAAAGCAGGGGAUCUUCGGACCUUGCGCUAAUAGAUGAGCCUAAGUCGGAUUAGCUAGUUGGUGGGGUAAAGGCCUACCAAGGCGACGAUCUGUAGCGGGUCUGAGAGGAUGAUCCGCCACACUGGGACUGAGACACGGCCCAGACUCCCACGGGAGGCAGCAGUGGGGAAUAUUGGACAAUGGGCGCAAGCCUGAUCCAGCCAUGCCGCGUGUGUGAAGAAGGCCUUAUGGUUGUAAAGCACUUUAAGCGAGGAGGAGGCUACUUUAGUUAAUACCUAGAGAUUGUGGACGUUACUCGCAGAAUAAGCACCGGCUAACUCUGUGCCAGCCGCCGCCGUAAAAC
rnacentral:rRNA from 1 species